rnacentral:tRNA from 1 species
GGAUUGUGGCUCAGCGAUAGAGCACUUGCCUAGUGCGUGCGAGGCCCUGGGUUUGAUUCUCAGCACCA